rnacentral:rRNA from 1 species
UACGUAGGUGGCAAGCGUUGUCCGGAUUUAUUGGGUUUAAAGGGUGCGUAGGCGGCCCUGUAAGUCAGUGGUGAAAUACAGCAGCUCAACUGUUGGGGUGCCAUUGAUACUGCGGGGCUUGAGUAGGUUCGGGGUGGCCGGAAUUUAUGGUGUAGCGGUGAAAUGCAUAGAUACCAUAAAGAACACCGAUAGCGUAGGCAGGCCACUGGGCCCUUACUGACGCUGAGGCACGAAAGCGUGGGGAUCAAACAGG